rnacentral:tRNA from 1 species
GGAGAGAUGGCUGAGCUGGUCUAAGGCGCACGACUGGAAAUCGUGUGUGGGGUAAUACUCACCGUGGGUUCGAAUCCCACUCUCUCCGCCA